UACGUAGGGUGCGAGCGUUAAUCGGAAUUACUGGGCGUAAAGCGUGCGCAGGCGGUGAGCUGUGUCCGAUGUGAAAGCCCCGGGCUUAACCUGGGAAUGGCAUUGGAAACUGGCUCGCUGGAGUGUGGCAGAGGGGGGUGGAAUUCCGCGUGGUAGCAGUGAAAUGCGUAGAUAUGCGGAGGAACACCGAUGGCGAAGGCAAUCCCUGGACCUGUACUGACGCUCAUGCACGAAGCGUGGGGAGCAACAGG
rnacentral:rRNA from 1 species